CAUCCCAAUCAGGGCAAAAUUUAAUCUUUUGUCUUCUAGAAUUUUUAUAAAACCACUACACUUACAACACAAACAAGAAGCCAAGAACCAUCAUCAUCAUCGAUCGCGGCUUCCCAGCAGCCGAUCGAUGCCGAUUGCGCGCUUACUCUCGCGAGUGCGUGAUCUCCCAGCUAACCGUACGCACAUAAGGCACGUAUGCACUAGAUAUUGGGCAAUUUCAAAACCGAAGGCCGAUCGUUGGAUGAUUACCCUAGCACAAAACACAACAUGCACAUCCACCGAUUAUGUUUAUGCUCAUCAUCACAUCAACAUACCGGACCGACAUCAACCAUGCCAGCAUCAAACUAAUUUCCCGUUGGGGAAAUCAAGUCGAGCAGCCACCCUGGCGACGCCCCGGUACUCACUCUCCAAUCUCUUAUCGGCCGACGCCAACUAGAGCCGUGAGUGAUAAAGCGAGGCGCGAUCGGUCAGGCAAUAUAGCCGAUCGUCGCCCGCGGAUCAUCAUCAGUCACUGGUUUAUCGUAAAGGAGACCGCGUCGAUCGUCAACCCGAUAUAUUUUCCGCCAGACGAUCGACCUGAAGAAGAAGUUUAGUUCGAGGAAUUUCUGUGGUGAAAACCGUCUCACCAGUGAGGAAGAACAAGGCGUGGAAUAAUAACCGCACUGGAGUGCGAGGUGCCGCGACACCGUAAAUUGGUCGUGGUGGAGAGUGAGGUGGCGUCUACGAUCAGCAUGGAAAGCAUGGCCAUGCUGGAGUAGAUAGGAGUACUUGAGAUCGGCCUUCAUUUCCUGUUUCACAAGCUGAAUUCCAUCAUGGCUGGAGCCGUGGUGUGGAGCAGUGCGCUGCUGUGCAUUCCUGCCGACUGGACGGCGGGGCUAAUGCACCGGAUGGCCGGCGUUCUCGCCGGUGACCAAGCUGGGUUCUGCCCGGGCAGCAACGUUGUUCCGGAUCGUCGAGGGAUACACGGGGUCACACACACACACACAGGUUUACACCCGCAACUCUAGUUUUAAGGACGCCAACUAGGUUUAAUUCGUCAAUAUAGAUGAUUAUGUGAUCAAUUCAAGAGAUCGCCAACGAUGGAAUAGUGUACACACACAAGAAUUGAUGAAAAGUGAUAAAUUUGAAACAUAAAACUGUAAAUAGAUCGUUUUGCUUGGGAUUAAUUUGAUUUUUCUCCCAGAUGUAGUUGAGGUUGAAGUGAUCAUGAGAAUUUUUGUAUAUAUUUUCAAUACGAGAAGUGAUGGGAGGAAAUGUUGUAUAUUUUGUACAUUUGUAUAUAUGAAUUUUUGGCUGUAAAUAAAUGAUGAAUUUGAACUUGCAUGAAUUUUAACUAUUUUAAGAAGAAAACAUAAAAAAGAGGAAGUUUUGCAGGAUGAAACCGGCCUCGCUGGAGACUUGAGUCCAAGACGAUGACGGUCAGUAAUAGGAUCUUGAUUGGAUCUCGAAUUCGGUCUUGAUAACCUGGAAACAGCGCUGAGUCACUGACGAUGACGCCCUAUGACCCCGAGGAGUAACGAUUUAUCGGAGGUUGAUUCUUGUCUGACUGAUUCUUACCAAAAAACAUUAGAACUUUUAGAAUUUUGCAUGAAUAUUUAUUAUUUUAAUUCUAGUAAAUGGUGGAUUUGAAAAUGAAGCAGGAUGA